GGGAGUGUGACUAAGUAGUGGAGUGCUUGCCUAGCAUACAUGAAACCCUAGGUUCGAUUCCUCAGUCCCA
rnacentral:tRNA from 1 species